AACGGUCUAUACCUGCGGUACCUGCGGAGGGAUCAUUACUGAGUUAGGGUCUCGAUGGCCCGACCUCCAACCCUUUGUUUACUAUACCAUGUUGCUUUGGCAGGCCUGCCUUUCGGGGCUGCCGGGGGCAUUCCUGCCCCUGGCCUGUGCCUGUCAGGAGCCCUCUUCAAAUUCUGUGUUAAAACUGUGCUGUCUGAGUCCCAAUAUCAAAUUAUACAAAACUUUUAACAACGGAUCUCU
rnacentral:misc_RNA from 1 species